rnacentral:rRNA from 1 species
UACGUAGGGCGCAAGCGUUGUCCGGAAUUAUUGGGCGUAAAGAGCUCGUAGGCGGCUUGUCACGUCGGUUGUGAAAGCCCGGGGCUUAACCCCGGGUCUGCAGUCGAUACGGGCUAGCUAGAGUGUGGUAGGGGAGAUCGGAAUUCCUGGUGUAGCGGUGAAAUGCGCAGAUAUCAGGAGGAACACCGGUGGCGAAGGCGGAUCUCUGGGCCAUUACUGACGCUGAGGAGCGAAAGCGUGGGUAGCAAACAGG